UGGGUAGUCCGUACGAGCGCACCUUGUCCCUAGUUGCCAGCACUUCGGGUGGGAACUCUAGGGAGACUGCCGGUGAUAAACCGGAGGAAGGUGGGGAUGACGUCAAGUCAUCAUGGCCCUUAUGGGGAGGGCUACACACGUGCUACAAUGGCCGGUACAGAGGGCUGCGAAGCCGCGAGGUGGAGCGAAUCUCAGAAAACCGGUCGUAGUCCGGAUUGCAGUCUGCAACUCGACUGCAUGAAGCCGGAAUCGCUAGUAAUCGCGGAUCAGAACGCCGCGGUGAAUACGUUCCCGGGCCUUGUACACACCGCCCGUCACACCAUGGGAGUGGGCUGUACCAGAAGUAGGUAGUCUAACCUUCGGGAGGACGCUUACCACGGUGUGGUUCAUGACUGGGGUGAAGUCGUAACAAGGUAGCCCUAGGGGAACCUGGGGCUGGAUCACCUCCUUU
rnacentral:rRNA from 1 species